UACGGAGGGGGCUAGCGUUGUUCGGAAUUACUGGGCGUAAAGCGCGCGUAGGCGGACCUGCAAGUCGGGGGUGAAAGCCCGAGGCUCAACCUCGGAACUGCCUUCGAUACUGCGGGUCUCGAGUCCGGGAGAGGUGAGUGGAAUUCCUAGUGUAGAGGUGAAAUUCGUAGAUAUUAGGAAGAACACCAGUGGCGAAGGCGGCUCACUGGGUAUCUUCUGACGCUGAGGGACGAAAGCUAGGGGAGCGAACGGG
rnacentral:rRNA from 1 species